rnacentral:sRNA from 1 species
CAAGGUGUUAAAUCGUCAGGAUGAGAACCGUAAAGGUUCGAGUCUCGCAACGCGAGACAACAUCACUCCGGUGAUUGCCCGAAGGGCGAGUUAUCCUGCACGACCCACCA